GACGAACGCUGGCGGCGUGCUUAACACAUGCAAGUCGAACGGGGUCCGAUGAGAGCUUGCUCUCGGAAGACCUAGUGGCGAACGGGUGAGUAACACGUGAGAAACCUGCCUCGGAGUGGGGAAUAAACUCGAGGAAACUCGAGCUAAUACCGCAUACCUUCAUUUGACCGCAUGGUCAGUUGAAGAAAGAUUUAUCGCUCUGAGAGGGUCUCGCGGCCUAUCAGCUUGUUGGUGGGGUAACGGCCUACCAAGGCAACGACGGGUAGGCUGGAUUGAGAGAUCGACCAGCCACACUGGAACUGAGACACGGUCCAGACUCCUACGGGAGGCAGCAGUGGGGAAUCUUGCGCAAUGGGCGAAAGCCUGACGCAGCAACGCCGCGUGCGGGAUGAAGGCCUUCGUGGUUGUAAACCGCUUUCAGUA
rnacentral:rRNA from 1 species